rnacentral:rRNA from 1 species
GGUUGAUCCUGCCGGAGGUCACUGCUAUUGGGAUUCGACUAAGCCAUGCGAGUCGCGAGGGUUCGGCCCUCGGCUGACGGCUCAGUAACACGCGGAUAAUCUGCCCUUAGGUGGAGGAUAAUCUCGGGAAACUGAGAAUAAUAUUCCAUAGAUUUAGGAUGCUGGAAUGCACUUAAAUUAAAAGCUUCGGCGCCUAAGGAUGAGUCUGCGGACUAUCAGGUUGUAGUCAGGGUAACGACCUGACUAGCCUACGACGGAUACGGGUUGUGAGAGCAAUAACCCGGAGAUGAUAUCUGAGACACGAUAUCAGGCCCUACGGGGCGCAGCAGGCGCGAAAACUUCGCAAUGUGCGAAAGCACGACGAGGGAAUCCCAAGUGCUGGCUCGUUAGAGUCAGCUGU